UACGUAGGGUGCGAGCGUUAAUCGGAAUUACUGGGCGUAAAGCGUGCGCAGGCGGUUCUGAAAGUCAGCUGUGAAAGCCCCGGGCUCAACCUGGGAAUGGCAUUUGGGACUGCAAGGCUUGAGUGCGGCAGAGGAGACUGGAAUUCCUGGUGUAGCAGUGAAAUGCGUAGAUAUCAGGAGGAAUACCGAUGGCGAAGGCAGGUCUCUGGGCUGACACUGACGCUCAUGCACGAAAGCGUGGGGAGCAAACAGG
rnacentral:rRNA from 1 species